GGCGGGGUAGCUCAGUUGGUGAGAGCGCACGACUCAUAAUCGUGAGGUCGCGGGUUCGAACCCCGCCCCCGCUA
rnacentral:tRNA from 3 species